rnacentral:rRNA from 1 species
CGUAACAAGGUAGCCGUAGGUGAACCUUCGGCUGGAUCAUUACCGAUCCUACGACACACUUAUUCGUGCUCGUCACGAUGACAAUUCCGCACAGGCCCUCGGGUCUUGUGGGCUGUGAUGGUUUCGGCGUUUCGGCGUCGUUUCCUACCGAUUUUCACACGUGGGCCGCAAGGUUCUGCACGUGAACGGUGAAGUCUGGGUUUCUGUGCGCUGGUUGAGUCGACGUUUUACCGUGUUGACAGAUGAGACCAGCCGGCUGCUUGCCAUUCGUUGUGCGAGCGUAGGAUUGAAAAGCCCGAGCGGCUGCCCUGACAAACAUUCAUUUUACAUUUAUUUUGUUUAUGAAAAGAGUUCAAGUUACUCCGGUGGAUCACUUGGCUCGCGGGUCGAUGAAGAACGCAGUGAAUUGCGAUAAUAAGUACGAAUUACAGAUAUUAUGAGUACCAUGUUUUUGAAUGCAUAUUGCGCUCUUGGGCUUUGCUCUUGAGCAUAUCCGAUUCAGGGUGUGUUCCCAAACUCGAGUAGAAACGCCGUCUUGUUUUUCGGUUUCUACACGUUUGAACAGUCGUCUCGCUUCGGUCCUGGUGAUUGGAGUUAGGCGGGUUGAGGAACGUUGAAACGCGGUGGCUUCGGCCCCGCGGCUUCAAGUAUUUGUUUGCUGCUGCUGUUUGCACGACAUCGGUUUCAACACGCUUCGGUCUUGUUUUGAAGUGUGUUGUUGGCCGGUCGCUCGUUCUAAACUGUUUGGAUGAUGGUUGCACAACAUGCCGUUAGGAUGUCUUAAUGAAAACUUUUGAAUCCUGGUUGUGUUACGCUGCUUCAUCUUGCCUUCGGGUGCCAUUCGGGCAGUGCGGCUACAUUUGGUUGAAACCACCUGAGUUGGGUAUGAUUACCUGCUGAACUUAAGCAUAUCAGUAAGCAGAGGAAAAGAAACACACAUGGAUUCCCUGAGUAACUGCGAGUGAAA